rfam:Candidatus Levybacteria bacterium RBG_13_35_9 RBG_13_scaffold_6584, whole genome shotgun sequence.
GGAGGGGUCGCAUAGUGGCCUAGUGCGCUUGCUUGGAAAGCAGGUAUAUCCGCAAGGAUAUCGCGGGUUCAAAUCCCGCCUCCUCCG